AAGGCAUUCUGCGAUCUGGAGCCAAUUUACACCUACGAAGGAACCUAUGAUAUCAAUGCGAUGGUUACUGCAAGAGAAAUUACGGGGAUUGCGAGCUUCAAACCUGCUGCUCUGCAUAAAUUGAGCCGUCUUUGAUAGUAUCAUUUCGAACGUUUUGAUCACUGAUAAAAGUUGGAGAUCCCAAAGGCCCAGAAUAAAUUCUUAGUUAUGAUAAUGUAUUGUCAGGAUUUCAACUUCGUUGUAAAGUUGAAGACCUGGGAGCAAAUUAUUUUGUAUUUUG
rnacentral:misc_RNA from 1 species